ensembl:antisense 1810034E14Rik RIKEN cDNA 1810034E14 gene
CUCCUGCAAAAGGGGCCAGGCCCACGGGCAGGCGCGACCAGAGGUCAGCCGCCCUGCAGAGGGAGAAAGAGAGAAGGAAAGAGACCUGGCCCACGAGCACACGCAACUAGGUCCAAGUGUCCUGCAAAGGAAGAAAGCAGACACACAGGCACGCGCGGCCAGAGACCAGAUGUCUUGAAAAGGGAGCGACUAAGCUAGCUUUGGGUACACUGGGCCAGCUCAAAACCGGCUGGCCGGUACGACCCAGGCACGCGUGAUAAAGGAUUUAGAGGCCAGGCCGGCGCAACCUUCCCCACAAACUCGGUCUCCCGCCCACCACCGCUGCCUGCCACCAGGGGGCACUCCCCGACCCAAGCAACGGAGAGUCACAGCUCAGAUCAGACAGGCCUGCACCUGGGCUCUUGCACCAGAGUUCGGAAACUGCCAAGUGACUGCUGGAGUUGGACAUGAAUAUAAUCCAGUACGUGGAGGCAGAAAGAGGAAGGAAGAUCAAGAGUUCAAGAGGGGUUCCCCCAGAAGAGCAGUCCUUCGAAUACUCAGUUGAUCUCAUGUGAACCUUCCUCUCAGGAGGCUUGAGAGUGGGGGCAGAAGAAGAGAGAAGAGGCAAGAGAGGAGGAGAGAGGACAGAAGAGGAGGAAGCCUCCAUGGACCUGAACCACAUGGCCAGGAGAAACACUUUGACCUUUGCACAUAACAUGUCUCUGCUACGGAUGAAGUAAUGGAAGGGCCUCUGUUGUCCAUGUCUGUCGUUGUAAGGCCCCCACUUCACCUCUGUGGCUCCCAAGUGAAGCCUCGGCAUUGAGACACGAGUAAACUAACAACCUAUAAGCACUCCAGGAUAACAGCUCAGAUGUGAAAUUGGAGCUUUGGUGUACUGGUGCUCUUUGAAGUCUUUAAAGGACACUCGGUGUCUCUGAAGGCUGGCCUCAUCGCUGACUCUGAUGCAUCCUGUGCCAGCAGUGUAGCAGCUGAGAGCUGUCAGCUCAACGGCACUCACUGCCUCAGUGCUGAUGCACGGAGAGGGGACUGUGCACUUCUCAGCUGGGAGGAGCAGAAUGACCUCCACCUCACUGCUGUCACCCGGUGCCACCCCACCAUUGUUACCUGGGUAACCCUGGAGCCUCAAUCCAGGCAUUUGGAGACCAGGCCAUGCAUGUCCCUUUAUUUCAUCUUUGACACACUGGAGAAUCGGGGCUCCAGAAGGUUGUGAACAAUCAGUCCAAGUGACUGGCAGAGACCAAGUAAGUAAGGUUCCUCCUGAGUCCUUCAGCCUCCCAAAAGCUUGGCCUGAGACCUCGCUCUUCAAAACCUGCCCCGCAGAUUUCAAGCACAGCACUUGAUUGCCAUCCCCUGUCUCUCACCCUCACCUUCCAAGUUCUGUUUUCUCAACACAAAAACACAGGAGAACAGAGAUGUCCUGGUACCGGGUCUUUAUUUCUAGCACCUGAGGAUAGUAUUCAAUGGGCAUUGUUGAAUAAAUGACGUGUCCGAAAGUUGGGCCCGUGCUAGUGGUCAAUUUGGGAAACAGCACGCGUGGAGGACGACCUGCAUACUAUAUUUGUGUUGUGUAUUUGUCCAAAUCCACUAGUUUCUCAGUUCUAAAUUCAAUUUGCAGGUACUGUUCACCAAGAGACCGUCACCACAUGCCUGCUUGCCUAAGUGGCGCGGGAUGAGCUGGCAAAUGUCCAACGUGCCGAGUAAUUUUUAUACAACUAUGAAGCAGUUGUAUCUGUUGGAAAAAGGAAAAGUUGGGCAGUCACAGCUUUAUUAAACAGAGACCAUCCAUUUGCCCAAA